rnacentral:rRNA from 1 species
UGCCAGCCGCCGCGGUAAUACGGGGGGGGUUAGCGUUGUUCGGAAUUACUGGGCGUAAAGCGUACGUAGGCGGACUGAUCAGUCAGAGGUGAAAUCCCCGGGCUCAACCCGGGAACUGCCUUUAAAACUGGAAGUCUAGAGUUGUGGAGAGGUAAGUGGAAUUCCUAGUGUAGAGGUGAAAUUCGUAGAUAUUAGGAGGAACACCAGAGGCGAAGGCGGCUCACUGGCUCGAUACUGACGCUGAGGUACGAAAGUGUGGGGAGCAAACAGGAUUAGAUA